GAUUAUCUGAAGGAGGUCCUGAGGUCCCAAUAGAAACAUUACGUCAAAGAGCUGUCUCAACCCUGAUCGUGUCUUUUGUUAACAGGGGCUUGAAGUCGUUGGAAAAAUAGGGACUUACGGCAGGAAUCAGUGUGCUACCAUAAGGGUCAAUUUCUUUCACGAUUUUCUGAGUUGCUUUGUGAAACAUGAGAACUGUAAGAAACUACAGAGAUUCGUGAACACAGCCGAGUCCAUCACACAAGCCAGCCUUCCAUCCAAUGGCUCCAUCCACACAUCUCAUCACCUCUUCUUCCACCAUGUUCUGUUGGGCAGAAGAUAUGAAAACUUACA